rnacentral:rRNA from 1 species
AACGAACGCUGGCGGCAUGCCUAACACAUGCAAGUCGAACGAGACCUUCGGGUCUAGUGGCGCACGGGUGCGUAACGCGUGGGAAUCUGCCCUUGGGUUCGGGAUAACAGUUGGAAACGACUGCUAAUACCGGAUGACGUCUUCGGACCAAAGAUUUAUCGCCCAGGGAUGAGCCCGCGUCGGAUUAGCUAGUUGGUAGGGUAAAAGCCUACCAAGGCGACGAUCCGUAGCUGGUCUGAUAGGAUGAUCAGCCACACUGGGACUUAGACACGGCCCGGGCUUGUACGGGAGGCAGCAUUGGGGAAUAUUGUAAACUGGGCGGGAGCCUGAUGUAGCAAUGCCGCGUGAGUGAUGAAGGGCUUAUUGUUGUAAAGCUCUUUUUCCGAGGAUGAUAAUGACAGUACCGGGAGAAUAAGCCCCGGCUAACUCCGUGCCAGCCGCCGCCGUAA